GAACGUCGCCAUGGCAACCGCACCGCAGGCUAGAGGGGUGGAGUAGGGGGCGGGGAAAUGCGAGCGCGAAAGUCCCCGCCCUCGGGCUGCUGGGCGGCGGCGACCCAGCGGCCCGCAAGGAUUUGAAACCGUUUGGCAGGGGCGGCGGUGGCGGCGGCGUUGGCGGCAGCGGCCGAGCGGAAAGCUUGCGUGUGGUGGUGCCAGGUUCUCGUUUUUUUCCGAAUUUCCUUCCCCCGCCCCUCCCACCAGGUUCUUGAGUGGAAUUUUGCGCCGGUGGCUGCCGCCCCGCCCUUGCGGGCCCGUUCGGGAAGGGGCGUCGCCCUCAGGCCCUGGGCCCGUUCUCCGGGCCUGGGGGGCGCGCGCCCCUGGGGUCCCGGCGCUGCCCGCUGUGGUGUCCCCGGCAGGCAGAGCGCGAUCCAGGCCGGGACGACUUGGGAAAGUUCUAAGUAAAGUUUGAUCAGCAGGUUUGAUCGGUCUGACGUGGUCCAGGAGUCUGACCCAAGGGUUUGCGACUGGGAGAGGAAAUCUGUGUCCUGGACAAGAUUGGAUUAUGGAAGUGGGAAGUGAAGAAGAAAAAUGGGAGAAGCUGGAUGCAGAAUUUGAUCACUUUGUGGUUGAUAUGAAGCCCUUUGUUCUAAAAUUACCUCAUAGGACAGAACGGCAGAGGUGUGCUCUUUGGAUUAGAAAGCUGUGUGAACCUUCAGGAACAGGUGCAGGAAUAAUGGGGAGGAAGAAUCGGAACCUGUAUGCCAAAUUGUUAUUGCAUAUGCUUAAACGAGGUGCGCUUGAAGGCCCUUUUACACACCGACCUGAACCCGGGACACUAAAAAUUCUACCUUCAUACAUGUCCAUCUAUUUUGAUGAACCAAAUCCAGCACGAGCAAAAGGUUCAAGCCCAGAGGGAUUACCAGCCUGGGUACUGGGUGAGCUGGAGACAAGUGAACACAAAUUAAAUGAAUCAUGGAAACUCUCUUCUGGAGAAGAUAACACUUUGGUACAGUCGCCAACUGAUGUCUACAGCAGGGAACAUUACACUGGGAAGCUCCAAGUGAGAUCACACUCCUUGAGUCCAACUCACAGAGAAGACGGACAAAAUAUUACCCCAAAGAUUUGUGAAGUUUAUUCGAAAAAAUCUCCUGUUUCUUUGGAUGAUAGUGACAUUGAAGCUCGCCUUAAUAGUUGGAAUCUUGGGAUAGAAAAUCCUCGAUACCUGAGACAGAAGCCUAUCCCAGUUUCUCUGCAGAUGACACCGAAAUUCAGCCUGAGAAAAUCCAGCAGUUUCCAUGAUGAUCAUUUUCUCUCUCGAAUACGUGAGAAAGAGCUGGACAUGAAAACAAAAAUGAUGGAAGCUAAAUUUCAUGAAGAAAAGCUUAAACUGCAACAGAAACAUGAUGCUGAUGUUCAGAAGAUUUUAGAAAGAAAGAAUAAUGAAAUAGAAGAACUGAAAACUUUAUACAGGAGUAAACAACAUGAAACUGAAGAGACUAUUAGAAAGCUUGAAAAGAAAGUUCAGACACUGAUACGUGACUGUCAGGUUAUCAGAGAGACGAAAGAAGACCAGAUUGCAGAGCUAAAAAAGAUAUGUGAACAAAGUACGGAAUCUCUAAAUAAUGACUGGGAAAAAAAGCUUCACAAUGCUGUAGCAGAAAUGGAACAGGAAAAGUUUGAUCUUCAAAAGCAGCACACUGAAAACAUUCAAGAAUUGCUUGAGGAUACAAAUGUGCGUCUGAAUAAAAUGGAGAGUGAAUACUUGGCGCAAACACAGUCCACAAACCACAUGAUCAAAGAACUGGAGGCCCGUGUCCAGCAGCUGACUGGAGAAGCAGAAAACAGUAAUUUACAGAGGCAGAAAUUAAUUCAAGAAAAAGCAGAACUUGAAAGAUGUUACCAAAUAACGUGUAGUGAAUUACAAGAAGUAAAGGCAAGGCGUAACACACUGCAUAAAGAGAAGGACCAUCUUGUGAAUGAUUAUGAGCAAAACAUGAAACUGUUACAAACCAAAUAUGAUGCUGAUAUAAACCUUCUAAAACAAGAACAUGCUCUUUCAGCUUCUAAGGCAUCUAGUAUGAUUGAAGAAUUAGAGCAGAAUGUCUGUCAAUUAAAACAGCAGUUACAGGAAUCAGAACUUCAAAGAAAGCAACAACUAACGGAUCAAGAAAAUAAGUUUCAGAUGGAGAAAAGUCAUUUAAAACACACCUAUGAAAAAAAGGCUCAUGACUUGCAGAGUGAACUUGAUAGAGGAAAAGAAGAUACUCAAAAGAAAAUUCAUAAAUUUGAGGAAGCUUUGAAGGAAAAAGAGGAGCAGCUAACUCGUGUGACUGAAGUUCAGAGGUUGCAGGCCCAGCAGGCAGAUGCCGCUCUGGAAGAGUUUAAGCGGCAGGUGGAACUGAACUCAGAGAAAGUCUAUGCUGAAAUGAAAGAGCAGAUGGAAAAAGUGGAGGCAGAUCUAACUAGAUCCAAAUCUCUUCGUGAGAAACAAUCAAAGGAGUUUUUAUGGCAACUGGAGGACAUCAGACAGCGGUAUGAACAACAGAUAGUAGAGCUGAAGCUGGAGCAUGAACAGGAGAAGACGCACCUAUUACAGCAGCAUAACGCAGAGAAGGAUAGCCUAGUCCGAGACCAUGAACGGGAAAUUGAAAACCUGGAAAAACAGCUUCGCGCUGCCAAUAUGGAGCACGAAAAUCAAAUUCAGGAGUUCAAGAAACGAGAUGCACAGGUUAUUGCCGACAUGGAGGCCCAGGUUCACAAGUUGAGAGAAGAAUUGAUCAAUGUGAACUCACAGCGGAAACAGCAGCUGGUAGAGCUUGGUCUUCUUCGUGAAGAGGAAAAGCAAAGGGCUACAAGGGAACAUGAGAUUGUCGUCAAUAAACUGAAGGCUGAAUCAGAAAAGAUGAAAAUAGAGCUGAAAAAGACUCAUGCUGCUGAGACAGAGAUGACACUGGAAAAGGCCAACAGCAAGCUGAAGCAGAUUGAGAAGGAAUACACUCAGAAGCUUGCCAAAUCUUCACAGAUCAUAGCAGAACUUCAGACAACCAUUUCCUCUCUGAAAGAAGAGAACAGCCAGCAGCAGCUUGCUGCAGAAAGGCGGCUCCAGGAUGUUAGACAAAAGUUUGAAGAUGAGAAGAAGCAGCUGAUUAGCGAUAAUGACCAAGCAAUCAAGGUUUUACAAGAUGAAUUAGAAAACCGUUCUAAUCAGGUGCGAUGUGCAGAGAAAAAAUUACAACACAAAGAAUUGGAGUCACAGGAACAGAUAACUUACAUACGACAAGAAUAUGAAACAAAAUUGAAAGGAUUGAUGCCAGCAUCCCUAAGACAAGAACUUGAAGACACCAUUUCCUCCCUAAAAUCACAGGUUAAUUUUCUGCAAAAGAGAGCUUCCAUCCUUCAAGAAGAACUGACUACAUAUCAAGGCAGAAGUGCUUAGUCUACUAUCAAAACAAGAUGAGAGAAUCUGCCGGGCACAGUGGCUCACUCCUGUAAUCCCAGCACUUUGGGAGGCCAAGGCAGGAGGAUCACCUGAGGUCAGGAGUUCAAGACCAGCCUGGCCAACUUGGUAACUGCACGAGAGAAUGCAACGGAUGCAAUUUCCAGGCUGUGCUGUGGACUUCUUCCAGCAGGUUUGAAGAUUUGGAUAUUGUAAACUGUGAGAUCAGUGGCAUUUUUUAAAUCCUUAAAUGUAAUUAAGAUCAUAAAAACAUGCAUCAUUCAUACAUUAGUGGGGUGGUUUUAUUUGUGUCUGCCUAAGUUAUUUUUUUAACAUUCCUUUAUUUCCGAUUUUCAUGUUUGUGUGCAUUUGAGUAUGUUCUGAGAACUGCUUAUAUUGGGCAAAGUGAUUUCCUAUGAUAUGCCUUGUUAAUCCUUUUGCAUAGAAUUUUACCAGUUGCGUACAAUCAAAAUCACGUUUGUAGUAUCAUAUCAAAAAUUCUAACCUGUUUACAUUGUUUUCAUGUUCAUGUUCCUAUAUUAUUAAAAUAUUAUUUUGUACUUACCA